AUUAAACCUGCCGUAGUAUUCAUUGCUUGCUUCUGUCUGAUCCUAGAUCCCGGUGAGAGAAAGGCAGGAAAAUCAAAACUAGAAAAGCACGAAUACAGUUUAUACCAAAAAAAAAAAAAAUCAAAACCUCAAA